ACUACCGAGGGAAAGUUCCGGAGUGUGAUGAUUCCUAGGGCAGAAUUGUACCGUGCACAACCCAACCCACUGGUCUUUCAACUUGAUGGACACGAGCCCUUCCUCCCUGUGAGCAGGGACCUACCCCGAGAUGGCUCAGAUUGGGGCUGUCAAGCCCUGCUCGGACUCAGCCACGUUCCUCACCAUUCCUUGGCUCAGGGCCGCGCCCCGCUCUGGGUCAGAAAGGUGAGGAAGCGCGGACUGUUCGCAGCUGCCGAGAUUCGUGCCGCUUGGAGACCACCCCGAGAGGAGUGUUGGUGCCAACUCCCUGUUUGCUGCUGCUGAAGUUCCUGCAGGUACUUAACUGGGUCUUUCCGGGUGUUUCCUGGACCCAGUGAGCCAGAGCUCCCCAAUCCUGUGCGUGACAGAUAGCCACGGAAAACAGUGAAGGAUGAACAGCCUUCCAGAGAAGGCGUUCUACAGAAGCACCCUUCCCUGCUCUCCUGAGUGCCCAACGCCCCACUGAGGCUGCGCUCCUCCCCGGGCGGGCAUCCCUAGGAGUUCCGCAGGCGCAGGGAGCAGGACAAAGCGUGCUCACCCCUUUUCCAAGGCAAAAGUCAGA